GGGUAGUUUGACUGGGGCGGUCUCCUCCUAAAGAGUAACGGAGGAGCACGAAGGUCAGCUAAUCCUGGUCGGACAUCAGGAGGUUAGUGCAAUGGCAUAAGCUGGCUUGACUGCGAGCGUGACGGCGCGAGCAGGUGCGAAAGCAGGUCAUAGUGAUCCGGUGGUUCUGAAUGGAAGGGCCAUCGCUCAACGGAUAAAAGGUACUCCGGGGAUAACAGGCUGAUACCGCCCAAGAGUUCAUAUCGACGGCGGUGUUUGGCACCUCGAUGUCGGCUCAUCACAUCCUGGGGCUGAAGUAGGUCCCAAGGGUAUGGCUGUUCGCCAUUUAAAGUGGUACGCGAGCUGGGUUUAGAACGUCGUGAGACAGUUCGGUCCCUAUCUGCCGUGGGCGCUGGAGAAUUGAGGGGGGCUGCUCCUAGUACGAGAGGACCGGAGUGGACGCAUCACUGGUGUUCGGGUUGUCAUGCCAAUGGCAUUGCCCGGUAGCUAAAUGCGGAAGAGAUAAGUGCUGAAAGCAUCUAAGCACGAAACUUGCCCCGAGAUGAGUUCUCCCUGACUCCUUGAGAGUCCUGAAGGAACG
rnacentral:rRNA from 1 species